rnacentral:rRNA from 1 species
GAUCCUGGCUUAGGAUGAACGCUAGCUACAGGCUUAACACAUGCAAGUCGAGGGCAUCAUAGUCAAAGCUUGCUUGAUUGAUGGCGACCGGCGCACGGGUGAGUAACGCGUAUCCAACCUUCCCCUUAGUAGGGCAUAGCCCGGCGAAAGUCGGAUUAAUACCCUAUGUUGUGUCAUGAGGACAUCUGAAUAACACUAAAGAUUUAUCGCUAAGGGAUGGGGAUGCGUCCGAUUAGCUUGCCGGCGGGGUAACGGCCCACCGGGGCGACGAUCGGUAGGGGUUCUGAGAGGAAGGUCCCCCACACUGGUACUGAGACACGGACCAGACUCCUACGGGAGGUAGCAGUGAGGAGUAUUGGUCAAUGGGCGAGAGCCUGAACCAGCCAAGUAGCGUGCAGGAUGACGGCCCUAUGGGUUGUAAACUGCUUUUAUGCGGGGAUAAAGUGACGUACGUGUACGUUUUUGUAGGUACCGCAUGAAUAAGGACCGGCUAAUUCCGUGCCAGCCGCCGC